rnacentral:rRNA from 1 species
CCUACGGGAGGCAGCAGUGGGGAAUCUUGCGCAAUGGCCGAGAGGCUGACGCAGCGACGCCGCGUGGGGGAUGAAGCAUUUCGGUGUGUAAACCCCUGUUGCUCGGGACGAACGAUCCUUUUCGAGGGAUGUGACGGUACCGAGUGAGGAAGCACCGGCUAACUCCGUGCCAGCAGCCGCGGUAAUACGGAGGGUGCGAGCGUUGUCCGGAAUCACUGGGCGUAAAGGGCGCGUAGGUGGUUAGAUGCGCCGGUGGUGAAAGCGCAGGGCUCAACCCUGCGUCGGCCAUCGGGACGGUCUGACUGGAGCACUGUAGAGGCAGGUGGAAUUCCGGGUGUAGCGGUGGAAUGCGUAGAGAUCCGGAAGAACACCGGUGGCGAAGGCGGCCUGCUGGGCAGUUGCUGACACUGAGGCGCGACAGCGUGGGGAGCAAACAGGAUUAGAUACCCUGGUAGUCCACGCCGUAAACGAUGGGCACUAGGUGCUUGGGGGAGCGACCCCCUGAGUGCCGACGCUAACGCAUUAAGUGCCCCGCCUGGGGAGUACGACCGCAAGGUUGAAACUUAAAUGAAAUUGACGG